AUACGUACGGGGCGAGCGUUGUCCGGAAUGACUGGGCGUAAAGGGCGCGUAGGCGGCCCGGUAAGUCUGGAGUGAAAGCCCUGUUUUUAAGAUGGGAAUUGCUUUGGAUACUGUCGGGCUUGAGUGCAGGAGAGGAAAGUGGAAUUCCCAGUGUAGCGGUGAAAUGCGUAGAGAUUGGGAGGAACACCAGUGGCGAAGGCGGCUUACUGGACUGUAACGGACGCUGAGGCGCGAAAGUGUGGGGAGCAAACAGGAUUAGAUACCCUGGUAGUCCACACUGUAAACGAUGAAUGCUAGGUGUAGGGGGUAUCGACCCCUUCUGUGCCGCAGUCAACACAAUAAGCAUUCCGCCUGGGGAGUACGGCCGCAAGGUUGAAACUCAAAGGAAUUGACGGGG
rnacentral:rRNA from 1 species